rnacentral:rRNA from 1 species
GACGUAGGGUGCGAGCGUUGUCCGGAUUUAUUGGGCGUAAAGAGCUCGUAGGCGGUCUGUCGCGUCGGAUGUGAAAGCCCGGGGCUUAACCCCGGGUCUGCAUUCGAUACGGGCAGACUAGAGUGUGGUAGGGGAGAUCGGAAUUCCUGGUGUAGCGGUGAAAUGCGCAGAUAUCAGGGGGAACACCGGUGGCGAAGGCGGAUCUCUGGGCCAUUACUGACGCUGAGGAGCGAAAGCGUGGGGAGCGAACAGG